CCGAAUGUUACCAAACAAACCACUGUGAACUGUCCCUUUAGCUGCUUCGGCGGGCGAUCCCAGGGCGGGAUCCCGGGCUCCUUACGGGGUGCUCGCCGGCGGCCACUUUCUAGCUCUGUUUCUAGCGGGCUUCUGAGUGUAAACCAAAAUAAUCA
rnacentral:misc_RNA from 1 species